AGAGUUUGAUCCUGGCUCAGAUUGAACGCUGGCGGCAUGCCUUACACAUGCAAGUCGAACGGCAGCACGGGAGCAAUCCUGGUGGCGAGUGGCGAACGGGUGAGUAAUGUAUCGGAACGUGCCCAGUCGUGGGGGAUAACGCAGCGAAAGCUGUGCUAAUACCGCAUACGAUCUAUGGAUGAAAGCGGGGGAUCGCAAGACCUCGCGCGAUUGGAGCGGCCGAUAUCAGAUUAGGUAGUUGGUGAGGUAAAGGCUCACCAAGCCGACGAUCUGUAGCUGGUCUGAGAGGACGACCAGCCACACUGGGACUGAGACACGGCCCAGACUCCUACGGGAGGCAGCAGUGGGGAAUUUUGGACAAUGGGCGCAAGCCUGAUCCAGCAAUGCCGCGUGCAGGACGAAGGCCUUCGGGUUGUAAACUGCUUUUGUACGGAGCGAAAAGGCUCUCUCUAAUACAGGGGG
rnacentral:rRNA from 1 species